rnacentral:rRNA from 1 species
GACGAACGCUGGCGGCGUGCUUAACACAUGCAAGUCGAACGGUAAGGCCCUUCGGGGUACACGAGUGGCGAACGGGUGAGUAACACGUGGGUGAUCUGCCCUGCACUUCGGGAUAAGCCUGGGCAACUGGGUCUAAUACCGGAUAGGACUCCUGGCUUCAUGGUUGGGGGUGGAAAGCUUUUGCGGUGUGGGAUGGGCCCGCGGCCUAUCAGCUUGUUGGUGGGGUAAUGGCCUACCAAGGCGACGACGGGUAGCCGGCCGGAGAGGGUGACCGGUCACACUGGGACUGAGAUACGGCCCAGACCCCGACGGGAGGCAGCAGUGGGGAAUAUUGCACAAUGGGCGCAAGCCCGAUGCAGCGACGCCGCGUGAGGGAUGACGGCCUUCGGGUUGUAAACCUCUUUCAGCUAUGACGAAGCGCAAGUGACGGUAGUAGCAGAAGAAGGACCGGCCAACUACGUGCCAGCAGCCGCCGUAA